AUUGAACGCUGGCGGCAUGCUUUACACAUGCAAGUCGGACGGCAGCACAGAGAAGCUUGCUUCUUGGGUGGCGAGUGGCGAACGGGUGAGUAAUAUAUCGGAACGUACCGAGUAAUGGGGGAUAACUAAUCGAAAGAUUAGCUAAUACCGCAUAUUCUCUGAGGAGGAAAGCAGGGGACCUUCGGGCCUUGCGUUAUUCGAGCGGCCGAUAUCUGAUUAGCUAGUUGGUGGGGUAAAGGCCUACCAAGGCGACGAUCAGUAGCGGGUCUGAGAGGAUGAUACCGCGCACGGGAAGUGCGCCGGGCCCAAGUCGCCGGGGGGGGGGGCCAGGGGGGAUUUGUGGACAGGGGUGGAGAGGAUGGCCCAGCCGGCGGGGGGGUGAAAAAGGGGCGUCGUGUUUGGAAAGGAUUUUUUCGGGAAAAAAAAAGGUUUUUGCUAAUACGGAGCGGGAAUGAGGGUACGUGAAAAAGAGGCCCCGGCUAACUACGUG
rnacentral:rRNA from 1 species